GGCCCAGACUCCUACGGGAGGCAGCAGUGGGGAAUUUUCCGCAAUGGGCGAAAGCCUGACGGAGUAAGACCGCGUGGGGGAGGAAGGUUUUUGGAUCGUAAACCCCUUUUGUCAAGGAAGAAGCUCUGACGGUACUUGACGAAUAAGCCUCGGCUAACUCCGUGCCAGCAGCCGCGGUAAUACGGAGGAGGCAAGCGUUAUCCGGAAUGAUUGGGCGUAAAGCGUCUGUAGGUGGCCAGCUAAGUCUGCUGUUAAAGAUCACAGCUCAACUGUGGGAAGGCAGUGGAAACUGGCAAGCUAGAGGUUGGUAGGGGUAAAGGGAAUUCCCGGUGUAGCGGUGAAAUGCGUAGAUAUCGGGAAGAACACCGGUGGCGAAAGCGCUUUACUGGGCCAGACCUGACACUGAAGGACGAAAGCUAGGGGAGCGAAAGGGAUUAGAUACCCCUGUAGUCCUAGCUGUAAACGAUGGAGACUAGGUGUAGCACGUAUCGACCCGUG
rnacentral:rRNA from 1 species